rnacentral:rRNA from 1 species
UACGUAGGGGGCAAGCGUUAUCCGGAUUUACUGGGUGUAAAGGGAGCGUAGACGGCCAGACAAGUCUGAAGUGAAAAUCCAGCGCUUAACGUUGGAAGUGCAUUGGGAACUACCGGGCUGGAGUGCCGGAGAGGUAGGCGGAAUUCCUAGUGUAGCGGUGAAAUGCGUAGAUAUUAGGAGGAACACCAGUGGCGAAGGCGGCCUACUGGACGGUGACUGACGCUGAGGCUCGAAAGCGUGGGGAGCAAACAGG